ensembl:snRNA U6 U6 spliceosomal RNA
GUGUUUGCUUCAGCAGCACAUAUAUUACAGUUGGAACGAUACAGAGAAGAUCAGCAUGGCCCCUGCGCAAGGAUGAUACGCAAAUUCAUGAAGCAUUCCACAUUCUU